GUUUACACUCCUGCUAUAAAGGAUGAGUUCAGCUGAUACUUGAUGGCGUCUAGCAUCUCCUGCCAAUCAGAGAUGCGAAUGAAAGCAGCAUUGGAACAAUCAGAUCAUCCUUUCAGAAUGUGUACUCUCUGAAUACUGCUCUCUGGAGGAGUGUGAAAAUCAAUUCUCAAUAUUAAGCAUCCAUUGGAGGAAAUCCCUAACCACAGUGCCUCCAGAAAGUUAUUUGAUCACCC